rnacentral:rRNA from 1 species
AACGAACGCUGGCGGCGUGGAUAAGACAUGCAAGUCGGACGAUCAUUGCGGGGUAGCAAUAUUCUGCAGUGAGAGUGGCGUAAGGGUGCGUAACGCGUGGGCAAUCUACCGUGAAGCCUGGAAUAACUCCGAGAAAUCGGAGCUAAUACCGGAUGUGACGUUUGGAAGGCAUCUUCUGAACUUCAAAGCUUUUGGGGACCGCAAGGCCUGGCACUUCACGAUGAGCCCGCGGCCUAUCAGCUAGUUGGUGAGGUAACGGCCCACCAAGGCUAAGACGGGUAGCUGGUCUGAGAGGACGACCAGCCACACUGGAACUGAGACACGGUCCAGACACCUACGGGAGGCUG